GACGAACGCUGGCGGCGUGCUUAACACAUGCAAGUCGAACGGAAAGGCCCUGCUUUUGUGGGGUGCUCGAGUGGCGAACGGGUGAGUAACACGUGAGUAACCUGCCCUUGACUUUGGGAUAACUUCAGGAAACUGGGGCUAAUACCGGAUAGGAGCUCCUGCUGCAUGGUGGGGGUUGGAAAGUUUCGGCGGUUGGGGAUGGACUCGCGGCUUAUCAGCUUGUUGGUGGGGUAGUGGCUUACCAAGGCUUUGACGGGUAGCCGGCCUGAGAGGGUGACCGGGCAGAGUGUGAGUAAGAGAGGGCGAGGACUGGGAGGGGGGGCAGCAGUGGAGUAAAGGGAGGAAGGGGGGGAGGCAUGAGGCAGCACGGCGGCGGGGGGGAUGACGGCGUUGGGUUGGGCAACCGGUUGCGCCGGGAAGGAAGGUGGAGUGGAGAUAAUGGGUAAAGAACAAGCGGCGAAUAAGGGGCAAGCAGCGGAGUAAUGGACGAACAACAACCGUCGGAAC
rnacentral:rRNA from 1 species